rnacentral:rRNA from 1 species
GAUGAACGCUGGCGGCGUGCCUAAUACAUGCAAGUCGAGCGAACGGACGAGAAGCUUGCUUCUCUGAUGUUAGCGGCGGACGGGUGAGUAACACGUGGAUAACCUACCUAUAAGACUGGGAUAACUUCGGGAAACCGGAGCUAAUACCGGAUAAUAUUUUGAACCGCAUGGUUCAAAAGUGAAAGACGGUCUUGCUGUCACUUAUAGAUGGAUCCGCGCUGCAUUAGCUAGUUGGUAAGGUAACGGCUUACCAAGGCAACGAUGCAUAGCCGACCUGAGAGGGUGCUCGGCCACACUGGAACUGAGACACGGUCCAGACUCCUACGGGAGGCAGCAGUAGGGAAUCUUCCGCAAUGGGCGAAGGCCUGACGGAGCAACGCCGCGUGAGUGAUGAAGGUCUUCGGAUCGUAAAACUCUGUUAUUAGGGAAGAACAUAUGUGUAAGUAACUGUGCACAUCUUGACGGUACCUAAUCAGAAAGCCACGGCUAACUACGUG